rnacentral:antisense_RNA from 3 species
UGCAAUGGCGGCUGUGCGUGGGAGACCUUCGGGUCUGCCGGUUUCCUACAUUUCCGGUUUAUCAGCCUGCGUACAGCUGCCACCCAU